rnacentral:rRNA from 1 species
GGCGGAUGCCUUGGCUUCUAGAGGCGAUGAAGGACGUGAUAAGCUGCGAAAAGCUGCGGGGAUUGGCACAUACGAUGUGAUCCGCAGAUAUCCGAAUGGGGCAACCCGGCAGGUUGAAGACCUGUCACUCGUAAGAGAGCAAACCCAGGGAACUGAAACAUCUAAGUACCUGGAGGAAGAGAAAACAAUUAGUGAUUCCCAGAGUAGUGGCGAACGAAAUGGGAACAGCCCAAACCGUUUUUGUUUCGGCAAAAGCGGGGUUGUAGGACCACGACAUAGUUUGCAUAUUUAAAUGGAAUAGUCUGGAAAGUCUAACCAUAGAGAGUGAAAGUCUCGUACAUGUACAAAUAUGUUAAACUUAGUGGUAUCCUGAGUAGCGCGGGACAUGUGAAAUCCUGUGUGAAUCAACCAGAACCAUCUGGUAAGGCUAAAUACUCCUAGAAGACCGAUAGCGAACAAGUACUGUGAAGGAAAGGUGAAAAGUACUCUGAAUAAGAGAGUGAAAUAGUUCCUGAAACCGUAUGCCUACAAGCUGUAGGAGCCAUAUUUAUAUGGUGACUGCGUGCCUUUUGCAUAAUGAUCCUACGAGUUACUCCUCACUAGCAAGAUUAAGGUAUUCAGUACCGUAGUCGAAGCGAAAGCAAGUCUGAAUAGGGCGUUUAGUUAGUGGGGGUAGACGCGAAACCCGGUGAUCUACCCAUGGUCAGGUUGAAGCUCUGGUAACACAGAGUGGAGGACCGAACCCAUAUACGUUGAAAAGUGUUGGGAUGAACUGUGGGUAGGGGUGAAAGGCUAAUCAAACUGGGAAAUAGCUCGUUCUCCCCGAAAUGCAUUUAGGUGCAGCCUCGGAGUAGAGUGUUAUAGAGGUAGAGCUACUGGUUGGAUGCGGGGGCUUCAUCGCCUACCAAAUCCUGUCAAACUCCGAAUGCUAUAACAUAUAUCCGGGAGUGAGGGCUGGGGUGCUAAGGUCACAGUCCGAGAGGGAAACAACCCAGACCAUCUGCUAAGGUCCCCAAAUGUAUACUAAGUUGAUCAAACGUGGUCAGACUGCUUUGACAGCUAGGAUGUUGGCUUGGAAGCAGCCAUUCAUUUAAAGAGUGCGUAACAGCUCACUAGUCGAGCGGUCAGGCGUGGAUAAUAAUCGGGCAUAAGUAUACUACCGAAGCAAUGGCAAUAUUUAUAUUGGGUAGGGGAGCAUUCUAGUCUGCGUUGAAGGUGUGUCGUGAGGCAUUCUGGAGCGUCUAGAAAAGAAAAUGUAGGAAUAAGUAACGAUAAAGGGGGCGAGAAACCCCCUCACCGAAAGCCCAAGGUUUCCUCAGCUAUGCUAAUCAGCUGAGGGUUAGUCGG